ensembl:lncRNA
AUUCAUCCUAAUUCUAUUCAUUCUAAUUCUAUUCAUCCUAAUUCUAUUCAUUCUAAUUCUAUGGUUCACGCCAUCUACAUUCUUAUCAGAGAAAUCCCAACAUCACUUGAUGAAACAAAACAGGUUAAUACUAUAAUACUUACUAAACACACAUAAAUACUACAAUAUCUACUAAACACAGAAAUACUAUAAUGCCUACUAAACACACAGAAACAAGGAAACGUAAAGCUCUUGACCUCAUGGCUGGUGUUUUUGUGAUUUUGUGUUUUUCUUGUCUCAGAUACUGUGUUAGUGUACCUUAAUGAUACCUAUACCUUGCUGCUAUGACAUUUUCUCUAUGUAAACCUCUUUAUUUGCUGAUGCAAAAUUUCCGUGAACAUUGGUGUAUGCUUGACACAAGCCAAGCCAAGAGUUUUUGAAAAAGUAAUCAUCAACCAUCCUCCACAGAUCAGUAGAUACAUAAUGCAUUCUAUAUAGUAGUGGGAGAGAUUAAGAAAUUCCUGAUGUUACGGCCACUCACAGUGUUUAAAAAUCAAAGUCAAUUUGCUUGAUUGAGUAGAGAAAGUUAACAUAUUCCUGUGUUAGAGAUUUCACUCUGAAGUAGAAUAAAACAUUUUUUAAAUUUAAUUUGGCAAAUUAGUAAACCUUGCCAGAGUGUACUGUUCUUGAGACAGGCGUACGCAAAGGUAAAUUCUCUUGAUUUAGAGGGGGUAAACAUACUGUCAUUAUAACACCAAAUGACCAAACAUUUAUUAGAAUUCAUGGACUUAAUCCAUAUGACCAGCUAUGUACUUAAUGCUCCAAUCUCCACUUCUUAAUGCCUUUGUGCAUUUAACAAAUGGAGCAAAAUGUCAAGUGUCAUGACUGGUAAUGUCAAGUGUCAUGAUGACACACUUAUGUAGGCAUAAUGACACAGUUAUGUAGGCAUAAUGACACAGUUAUGUAGGCAUAAUGACACAGUUAUGUAUACGCCUUCAACUAAAGUAUUCCCUAUAUUUAACCAAGUCAUUUGUUAAAUUUUUUUGUAAGAAGAAGAAAAACUGUUCGUGUCAUAACGCCACCUGGGGAUAGUAACUGAACCACAUAGCUCUGACAACCUAAGUGAAGAAAUCAGUCAUAGAUGUCAAAUGAAGGGCUGGUCUUUUAAAAAACAACUGUGUUUUCUGUUUUGAGGUAAUAACGCUUCAGAUCAGUAAGCUUGAAAUCUUUGCUUAUGUACAGUAUGUUGGUACACAAUAAAACAUUUUUAUGCUGUAUUCUGUAGCCCUCUUAUAGCAGAUCAGUGAAAGGCUGAAACACAUCAGAGCUACUUGCAGUUUUCAAGAGAGACGCAAGGUCGAAACACUAAUAAUUGAUGAUGUGCACAGUGUAAAACGCUAGUGGCGACGCAGGGUCUAUAAGAAAUAUACAUGUAUACAGUAUUGCACAAAGUCUGCACAACUCAAUGUAUGUCUUUUAAGAAUGUACAUUUUAAUUCUGAUUUGUUUAUUAAUAGACUGGAGCAACAUCUGCC